GUCAGGUAAGUAAAAAUGUAUGAACAAACUUCUAUGGACCCAUUUCUCAUGUCCACCUUGAAGUGUGGACUGGAAAGCCCACCCAUGAAACUAGAUUAAUUGUACUGACUGUAAUGGUCAGUUAUACCUACAUGUUGAUCCUAUGGUAAACAGACUGUCUGGGAGUAUCUUUUGAGAAAAAGCAUAUAAAAAAAAACCUAAACCAGCCAAUCAUGCUGGUCCUUAAAGAUUAAGACUAUAUUUACUUAUCUGGACAAGUGUCAGAAAGAUUAUUAAAAUAUAUUUUUCCUAUUCAGGCCAAUCAUUUACAUAAAAUAUUCACCAAUAUGUUAUUGCCCUAAUCAUUCUACAAUAGAAAUUAAUACCUUUUCUAAGUGGAUAGAUUAUGCAAAUAUCUUGCCAGUACCACAUAAGAUAUCUAGAAAUAGUGGACAUAUUUUAGACUGGUCUCCCAGAAUUGGUAACGAUGAUUAUGCAAGAAUGCCAUGACACAGGGAGGUUUAUUGGUAAUACCCUAACCCUCAGCAAGAUGGCAUCCAAAAGUGUGUUUUGAUAUUUGACUUCUACCUUCAGAAUAUUUAAUUACUGACAGACCUAAUAAACUCUUUAAAUGUGGGAAUUAAGAGGAAGAAUGAUGAAUAUCCUGUCUGUAAAAAUACGACUUAUCAUAUUGUAUCACUCGUUCUUGCCAGCUAGUAUUUCAGAGCUAUAAUGUGCUGAAAUUAAUGUUGAGUCUUUAAAACAGGUGCAUGCCAAUUAACCAUGAUCCUUGAAGUGACUACUUUAAAUAUUAUUCCUUGCUUCUACAAUUAUAGCCUUUGUGGCUAUGUCUUAAAACUUACAACAUAUGGAUUUUCUUAAUAGUUUGUCUUAAAUUAUUUCCAAGAUCCUUCAUAGUCAAAUAAGUGCUGAUUGAAGAGUUGGAACUAGGUUAAAAUGCUCUAAAAAGCCACUGUAAUAAAUAUUAUAUGUGAGCCCUCUGCUGUAGGGUUUGUAGAAAGGCUUAAAUGCCAUGCUAAAUAAAAAUGUCUAUGUUACUGUGGCUGAACAAAAUUCUUCCCAAUAAAAUUGGGAAAAGAUUAAGACUCUUCUAAUGAGUGUUUGGCAGAAUAAUAAUAAUAAUAACCCAAAUCUUCCAAAUUGAUUAUGUUAUUGAGAUAAUAUGUUUUCUACUAAUUCUUUUUGUGUUUUAAUACUAGAUAAUGAUGACCUCGGACCAAGAAUCCAGUGACUGAAAGAUAUAAUUCCCCAACUGCCUUUAAAUAUUAAGAAAGGGAAAAUUAUGUGGGAAGCCACACUGAGUUACCACACCUUCUAGUCCUAAUGCACCAUGGGGAUCUGAAAGAUCACUGAAGUCUGGCGUAGUAGUGCCAUGACUUGUGAGUCUUUUCCCUGGCUCGGAUAGCAAGGCCAGUCUUCUGAGUAGGCACACCCCUGGGGUUAAGCUACACCCACCUAUUUUUUUGUAAUACUACCCCUUUGCUCUGUUUGGGAUAGAAUGUUCCAUGGAAAUGCCCUUUGUGUGUCCCCUUCUCUUGCUCUACCUUUGGGUGUGGCCUUCCUGAUGUUAGUCGAUCUGCUGAUAGCAGACAUCAUGGAGCUAGACUCAACCUGCUGAAAUCUGACCCCUUGCCUCAUUUGAGUGGCUUCUCCCCAAUAAAAGGAUUCAACAUGCGCUCUCUCUCUUUCUUUUCAUGGACCCCUAAGGUCAGAGGAGCCAUCACAGGACCCAAAGAAAAAGGCAUCUCUGACUCUUGUAUGAUUAUUUCAUGCAGCCCAGGUCAACCUGGAGUGACCUUGAGUGUUUAGUCAUGGAACGCAACAUUACAUGACUUGGAGUCUCAGGGUAAAAUGGAGUUUGUUUGGUCAUUGCCCAGAUGGCCGGGCCCAUAAAAACUGAAACACUUGUAAAGGCUAUAAGACACAAUGAUGUCCUGGAAAAUCUCUGAGACAGAAUGCAACAUUGGGAAAGGCCCUGAACCCCAUUGGGAACCCAGUGAAUGUUAUGAAUUCCUGUGAGACCCUAUUGAAGGCUUUGAGCCACAGAGAAACACUCAGCUCUGCUAUGAUCCUGAGGACAGCCUGGAGCAUCUCCUAAAUUCUGUAUUUAGGAGAUAAUGUCACAUAAUGUCACUCUGGGGAAAGUCCUGUACUCAAUGAUACCCUAGGGAAAACCUUGAACUUCUAUGAGACUUGGAGAAGGCUCUGAGCCCCAGCAAAACUAUGUGGAAGACCCUGAGAACCACUGUGACCUGGGAAUGGUGCUAGGCUAGAGACCCACUGACACCCUGGGUAAAGCUUGGUGCCCCCAAUUGCCAUUGGGUGUGGGGCAACAUUUCUGACCUGCCAGAGAUUCUAGGAAUACCACUGCACCACACUGAAACGCUGGCCAAUUAACUGAGAUAAUCUGAGAUGUUGGGUAAGUACAUGAGUCCAAUGGAGACCCUUGGCAAGGCCAUGAACACUUGAGUACAUACAGGAUGUUCUGAGACACUGAGAAUGAUGAUGAGGCCCACUGGGGGCCUGGCUACAGCUAUGAGUCUACUAAGGCCUGGAGAAGACCCUAAGUCUGACAGUAACCCUGGGAAGGCUGUGAGCCCCACAGGAACAUUCACAAAGUAUCUAAGAUCCACUGAUGGCCUGGAGAAGCUCCAGGACACGCUGAGACACUGGGAAAGGCCCUAAACUCAAUUCAGACCCCCCCAAAAGGCCUGAAACCCACUGAGACUCUAGUGAAGGCCUUUAGCCUCACAGAAACACUGGAGACGAAAUCUACGCCCCAUUAAAAUCCUAUGGGCACUCCAAACCUCACUGAAAAUCUUGGGAAGAUGCUGAGCCCCAGUGAUGCCUAACUGAAGAUUCUGAUUCCCAGUGAAGACUGAGAGAAAGUCUCAAGCCCCAGUGAGACCUGACAGAAGGCCUUGAGCCCAACUGAGAACACAGGGAAAGUCCUGAGCAUCACUGUGACCCUGGAAAAUACCCUGAGUUCCAGUGAAAUCCUCAGAAAAGUGAUGAGUCCUACUGAUGUCCUUGAAAAGCUCUGAGACAAAAUGAGAUGCCAAGAAAGUCUCUGAACCACAUUUAGACUCCAGCUGAAGCCCUGAAUCCUACUAGAUUCUAAUGAAGGCCAUUCGUCCUACAGAAACACUGGGUAAUAUUCGAACCCAUAUUGAAAUUUUGUAGAAAGCCUGAAAUCCUACUAAAAUUCUGGAGACUGCCUUGAGCCAGUUCAUACCCUAGGAAGGCACAGAGCCCCACUGAAAACCUUGGAAAGGCCAAGAGCCCCACUGAUGGCCUGUGUCACAAGGGGGCAAAAUUGUGACGUAUGCAGCCGAGGGGAGAAAUAAAGAAUG
rnacentral:lncRNA from 1 species